UGACAAUGGGUAAAAUUAAAUUAUCCAAACAAAUCCAUAAAAGAAAAAAACAACAUUUCCCUACCACCCUUUAUCUUUUCCCUUCAAUCCAAAUCUUUCCAUCUUUCAUACUCAGAUUAUAAAUACGAACAAAUUCUAUCUUUUUUUUAAAAAAAAUUGGGGACAAACUUGCCUGGCUCUGCAAUGGUGUGGGGGCUUGAGGGUACCUUCUGUUUCUUUCAUUUU
rnacentral:sRNA from 1 species